UUUUCCAUUAACUUUUCUACUGUGCCAUUUUUCUGAAGCACACAGAAAACUGUUUUACAGUGGAGAGGACCAGCAUAGUAAAGAUAAAGAUGGCAUUAUUCACAUAAAUAGCAUAUUUUAAAAACAGCUUCGGUGAGUUGCAGUGCAAGUUAAUAAAUUUAACUUGCCAUUAUUUAAUAUGUAAUAAAAUGCAGUCUAAAACUACAAUCUAGGUGGUCCAUGUGUCACAAUGCCCAGCUUUGCCAUCAAGGAAUUUACAAAUGCUAUUCCUACAUACUUUGUGCUGCUGACGGCUUUUUUUCUCUAGAGUGCUAAAUUCUAUGGUAAACCAUCGAAGACCUGAGCAAAUGCUUGAACUCAAAUUUGGGCUAGACUGUGAGCUUCCUGAGGGUAGAGACUGUGUCUAUAUCCAUCUUUGUGGCUUCUGAGGUCAGCCUGGUGCCAAUCACUUUAUGAAUGAUGGGUAGGUUAGGUUACUUCCUAAAGCCUUCAUUGUUCAGGUCUUAGAAAAUCAAUCCACAAGCAUUUGUUGCAUCCCUCCUCUUCUUUUUCCACUAAGGAGUAUGGUAUUUCAGAUAUUGAUGCACAGAGUUCCCCUUCUCCUUCAAGCUAUCAUCACUUCAUGCUUGUUGACUCUUCACCAUUCCUUAGUUGCCUUGAAACAUGGCAAAUAGGAGGCUCCUGGAGCUCGGAUAGUAAACCAGACCUGCGAUGAUGUCGUCAAUGAGUGGUCUUCAUAGAAGAGAGAAGAAAAGGCCCUUCUCCACCCCUUCAGCUCCGGCUUUAAGGUCCAUAAAUACCCCUGAGGAAGGAUCCACUGUGUUGCACUCAGUCCUCUCUUGCUGAGGUGCUCCGCUGCAGCUGCACUCUUCGACAGCGUUCUUUCUACCUAAUAAACCUUUCCUUUUCCAGUCCUAUACGGUCAGUGGUAAAUUCUUCUUACCAACCCACCAGUCAACCACCUUUUGAUGUUGGAGCUCUGACACCUUGCCUGGCUCUGGGUGAUUGCUUUCACUCAAUUCAUCUGUAGACCGAUGACUUCAUCUCUGGUACAGACCAUUCUGACCUGCAGAACCAUAGAUUCCAUUUCUUCUUAGUGGACAGUUCUGUCUGAAUGACCACAGAGAACUCAAUCUCAACAUGCCCCAAUUGAAUUUAGCUGCCUUCACUAUGCUCUGCUCUCUGCCUUUCCCAUCUGCCCACUCUCCCCUAAAUUUCCAGUGUCAUAAAUUUAAUGACAUCAUAACUGAGCUGGGAGUCAUGCUCAAGUGCUUUCCCUCUUCACAUCCGAGUAUCCAUCUAGGCUUAUUGUUCUGCCUGCAUUCUCUCUCUCAAAGUCUUCUCCUCUGGAUAUUCCUUCAAUACAACUCUCAUCAAGUUUAAUCUGCAUUAUUCUAGUUCAUCUCCUCACUAGUCCCCCCAGCUUUGUCCCUGUCUCAUUCCUGAGGGAUACUGCUGAAUCAUGUUACUUCCAGCCAAAGGCC
rnacentral:lncRNA from 10 species